GACGAACGCUGGCGGCGUGCUUAACACAUGCAAGUCGAACGGGCCCGCUCUCUUUUUUGGGGGUGGGUUGAGUGGCGAACGGGUGAGUAUCACGUGAGUAACCUGCCCCCUGCUCCUGGAUAACUGCUUGAAAGGGCGGCUAAUACGGGGUGUGCCGGCUGGUCCGCAUGGGCCUGGUCGGGAUAGUUUCAUCUUCGGGUGUUUCGGUGGGGGAUGGGCUCGCGGCCUAUCAGCUUGUUGGUGGGGUGAUGGCCCACCAAGGCGGUGACGGGUAGCCGGCCGGAGAGGGUGGGCGGCCACACGGGGACUGAGACACGGCCCAGAGUCCUGCGGGAGGCAGCAGUGGGGGGUAUUGCACAAUGGGCGGAAGCCUGAUGCAGCGACGUCGCGUGAGGGAUGGAGGCCUUCGGGUUGUGAACCUCUUUCUCCGGUGGUGAAGGCCCUGUCCGUUGCGGCGGGGUUGACGGUAGCCGGGUAUGAAGCGCCGGCUAACUACGUG
rnacentral:rRNA from 1 species